CCCCUAUAGCAGACAGGUGUAGGCAAUAGACUUUUAAUCUAUGAGGUGAGGUUCAAUUCCUCAUGGGGGAAC
rnacentral:tRNA from 1 species